rnacentral:rRNA from 1 species
GACGAACGCUGGCGGCGUGCCUAAUACAUGCAAGUUGAGCGCUGAAGGUUGGUACUUGUACCAACUGGAUGAGCAGCGAACGGGUGAGUAACGCGUGGGGAAUCUGCCUUUGAGCGGGGGACAACAUUUGGAAACGAAUGCUAAUACCGCAUAAAAACUUUAAACACAAGUUUUAAGUUUGAAAGAUGCAAUUGCAUCACUCAAAGAUGAUCCCGCGUUGUAUUAGCUAGUUGGUGAGGUAAAGGCUCACCAAGGCGAUGAUACAUAGCCGACCUGAGAGGGUGAUCAGCCACAUUGGGACGGAGACACGGCCCAAACGCCUACGGGAGGCAGCAGUAGGGAAUCUUCGGCAAUGGACGAAAGUCUGACCGAGCAACGCCGCGGGAGUGAAGAAGGUUUUCGGAUCGUAAAACUCGGUUGGUAGAGAAGAACGUUGGUGAGAGUGGAAAGCUCAUCAAGUGACGGUAACUACCCAGAAAGGGACGGCUAACUACGUG